rnacentral:rRNA from 1 species
AUGUGUGUACCCAAAAAUCAAGUGGGUAUGGGAUUUCGGGAUAUUCAUUGCUUCAACCUGGCAAUGCUGGCAAAACAAGCGUGGCAUAUCAUUGAGAAUCCAGAUUCCUUAUGUGCGACCGUGUUGAGAGCUAAAUAUUUUCCAAACGGUGAUUUAUUGAAUAUAAAGCUAAAAGAGGUUCCUCUUUUACUUGGCAAAGUAUUAUGGCAAGGGUUAAUUGUCUAA